GGGUGGCGGCACAGUGGGGUCACUACACAAGGGCCUGCCUCGCGUUUUGUUUCCAAAAUACUGCUGGGGCGGGAUCAGACGUGUGCUCGGAGCGCGCGGGAAGAGCGGCGGUUUCUGGAGAAUUCUUGGCUGGCUCUUCAGCCUUUGCCUGCUCUGCUCCUGCACAGUCACCCCGGCGGCGACAGCGGCGGGCAGACCGGGUCCCCCCCGCCCGGCGUCUGCGCGCCUCUCCGGGGGAGGGCCGGGCUGGCCCCACAGCUAUUAAGACCCGCAGCUGCCGGGGCGGCACCGGGGCGCGUUUCAAGUGAGCUCGAGGGAAAUGAGGGGCUUGCAGCCGGCCGCCUGCUUAUCCGCUCUCGCCGCCUGAAAGGCGACUCCGGGAGCGCGCGCCGUCCCUCCGACUGCCCGGGCGAGCUGGGGGAGCGCGCGCCCUUCGGGAACCCCCGGCAAGGAUACGCAAGCACCAGGCAACCGUGUGUGUCCAUGAGCAGAAGGGAAGCAGGCAGCACCACUCUGUACCCACAAGAGCAUCCUUGCUGGAGGUGGAGCAACAGGAGAGCUGGACACGGGGUGCAGGCUCUGGGAAAGCAGCAAAACCUCAGUGAUGAUGAGCAGGGAGCAGGUCCCCCUUCUGAGGCCCCGGACACCUUCCUGAAGCCGCGGCUCUGUGGUCUCCAGUCCUGGGGCCACCCCCUCGGUUCUCCAAACCAGAGCAGGCAGAGCUUGGGAUGUACGGAUUUCCCCGUCGGUGAGAAGCAGGGAAGGUUUUGGAAUUACAGAGUGGAAAUGGCCCCGAGGGAAGGGAAGGAAUAGGAACCCAUAUCAGAGUGCCGACUUGAGUGCUGGCUCCUUUGCUGCAGAUCCAGCAUCCUGCUGAUGCAUUUGGGAAGGCGGCAGAGGAUGGCUCAAGGACCUGGUCCCCUGCCACCCGUGUGGGAGACUAGGAUAGAGUUCCAGGAUCCGGGCUUUGACUUGGCCGAGCCUUGGCCAUUGCAGCCAUUUGGGGAGCAAACCAGCAGAUGGCAGAUCUCUUUCUCUCUGUCUCUCCCUCUCUUUGCUUCUCUGCCUUUCAAAUAAAUUUUUUGAAAGAGUAUUAGUAAAAUCUAAA
rnacentral:lncRNA from 1 species